GGCAGCACAGUAAGAGCUUGCUCUUAUGGGUGGCGAGUGGCGGACGGGUGAGGAAUACAUCGGAAUCUACUUUUUCGUGGGGGAUAACGUAGGGAAACUUACGCUAAUACCGCAUACGACCUUCGGGUGAAAGCAGGGGAUCUUCGGGCCUUGCGCGGAUAGAUGAGCCGAUGUCGGAUUAGCUAGUUGGCGGGGUAAAGGCCCACCAAGGCGACGAUCCGUAGCUGGUCUGAGAGGAUGAUCAGCCACACUGGAACUGAGACACGGUCCAGACUCCUACGGGAGGGAGCAGUGGGGAAUAUUGGAAAAUGGGCGCAAGCCUGAUCCAGCCAUACCGCGUGGGUGAAGAAGGCCUUCGGGUUGUAAAGCCCUUUUGUUGGGAAAGAAAUGCAGCCAGUUAAUACCCGGUUGUGCUGACGGUACCCAAAGAAUAAGCACCGGCUAACUUCGUGCCAGCAGCCGCGGUAAUACGAAGGGUGCAAGCGUUACUCGGAAUUAC
rnacentral:rRNA from 1 species